rnacentral:misc_RNA from 1 species
AACUGCGAUAAGUAAUGUGAAUUGCAGAAUUCAGUGAAUCAUCGAAUCUUUGAACGCACAUUGCGCCCGCCAGUAUUCUGGCGGGCAUGCCUGUCCGAGCGUCAUUUCAACCAUCAAGCCCCCGGGCUUGUGUUGGGGACCUGCGGCUGCCCGCAGGCCCUGAAAACCAGUGGCGGGCUCGCUGUCACACCGAGCGUAGUAGCAAUCACCUCGCUCAGGGCGUGCUGCGGGUUCCGGCCGUUAAACAGCCUUACAAAACCCAAGGUUGACCUCGGAUCAGGUAGGAAGACCCGCUGAACUUAAGC